CAUAUACUCCCUCCGUCCGAAAAUACUUGUCAUCAAAAUGGACAAAAAGGGAUGUAUCUAGAACUAAAAUACAUCUAGAUACAUCCCCUUUUAUUCAUUUUGAUGACAAGUAUUUCCGGACGGAGGGAGUACGAG
rnacentral:pre_miRNA from 1 species